AGAACGAACGCUGGCGGCAUGCCUAACACAUGCAAGUCGAACGAGACCUUCGGGUCUAGUGGCGCACGGGUGCGUAACGCGUGGGAAUCUGCCCUUGGGUUCGGAAUAACAGUUAGAAAUGACUGCUAAUACCGGAUGAUGACGUAAGUCCAAAGAUUUAUCGCCCAGGGAUGAGCCCGCGUAAGAUUAGCUAGUUGGUGGGGUAAAGGCCUACCAAGGCAACGAUCUUUAGCUGGUCUGAGAGGAUGAUCAGCCACACUGGGACUGAGACACGGCCCAGACUCCUACGGGAGGCAGCAGUGGGGAAUAUUGGACAAUGGGCGAAAGCCUGAUCCAGCAAUGCCGCGUGAGUGAUGAAGGCCUUAGGGUUGUAAAGCUCUUUUACCCGGGAUGAUAAUGACAGUACCGGGAGAAUAAGCUCCGGCUAACUCCGUGCCAGCAGCCGC
rnacentral:rRNA from 1 species